rnacentral:rRNA from 1 species
CCCAGACUCCUACGGGAGGCAGCAGUGGGGAAUAUUGCACAAUGGGGGAAACCCUGAUGCAGCGACGCCGCGUGAAGGAUGAAGUAUUUCGGUAUGUAAACUUCUAUCAGCAGGGAAGAAGAUGACGGUACCUGAGUAAGGAGCCCCGGCUAACUACGUGCCAGCAGCCGCGGUAAUACGUAGGGGGCAAGCGUUAUCCGGAUUUACUGGGUGUAAAGGGAGCGUAGACGGCAUAGCAAGUCUGAAGUGAAAGCCCAAGGCUCAACCAUGGGACUGCUUUGGAAACUGUUAAGCUAGAGUGCUGGAGAGGUAAGCGGAAUUCCUAGUGUAGCGGUGAAAUGCGUAGAUAUUAGGAAGAACACCAGUGGCGAAGGCGGCUUACUGGACAGUAACUGACGUUGAGGCUCGAAAGCGUGGGGAGCAAACAGGAUUAGAUACCCGUGUA